rnacentral:lncRNA from 1 species
CCCUUCUGGUUCAAGCAAUUCUCCCUGCCUCAGCCUGAGGUUUCUCCAGGACGUCACCUGUAUGAGGUACACAGUGUGAUGACACACUCUGUGCUUUUCCUACUUGUGUCCACGUGAGUGUCUGGAGCUGCCCUUCAAGGAGAGCAAUAGAUGAAUGAUUCUGCCUUCCCGCUGAGAGGGAUGUGGGUCCUGCGGAUGGUCGGGGUGAAGCUUCCUCUCCUUUCUGCUGACAGCACUUCCUCAUUAAAUGCAGAGAUCUGCAAAAAGGGAAAAUAAAAACACAAGAAGAAAAAUGAGGCAUCAAAG